GAUGAACGCUGGCGGCGUGCCUAAUACAUGCAAGUCGAGCGAAUGGAUUAAGAGCUUGCUCUUAUGAAGUUAGCGGCGGACGGGUGAGUAACACGUGGGUAACCUGCCCAUAAGACUGGGAUAACUCCGGGAAACCGGGGCUAAUACCGGAUAACAUUUUGAACCGCAUGGUUCGAAAUUGAAAGGCGGCUUCGGCUGUCACUUAUGGAUGGACACGCGUCGCAUUAGCUAGUUGGUGAGGUAACGGCUCACCAAGGCAACGAGGCGUAGCCGACCUGAGAGGGUGAUCGGCCACACUGGGAAUGAGACACGGCCCAGACUCCUACGGGAGGCAGCAGUAGGGAAUCUUCCGCAAUGGACGAAAGUCUGACGGAGCAACGCCGCGUGAGUGAUGAAGGCUUUCGGGUCGUAAAACUCUGUUGUUAGGGAAGAACAAGUGCUAGUUGAAUAAGCUGGCACCUUGACGGUACCUAACCAGAAAGCCACGGCUAACUACGUGCCAGCCGCCGCCGUAA
rnacentral:rRNA from 1 species